rnacentral:tRNA from 1 species
GCGAGCAUGGCGGAAUAGGUAGACGCAACGGACUUAAAAUCCGUUAUCAUUAUGGUGUGUGGGUUCGAGUCCCUCUGCUCGCACCA